AGAGUUUGAUCCUGGCUCAGGAUGAACGCUGGCGGCGUGCUUAACACAUGCAAGUCGAACGAACCUUCGGGUUAGUGGCGGACGGGUGAGUAACGCGUGGGAAUCUGCCCUCAGGAGGGGGAUAACGGCUGGAAACGGCCGCUAAUACCCCAUAUGCCGAGAGGUGAAAAGAAAUUCGCCUGAGGAUGAGCCCGCGUCUGAUUAGCUAGUUGGUGGGGUAAGAGCUCACCAAGGCGACGAUCAGUAGCUGGUCUGAGAGGAUGAUCAGCCACACUGGGACUGAGACACGGCCCAGACUCCUACGGGAGGCAGCAGUGGGGAAUUUUCCGCAAUGGGCGAAAGCCUGACGGAGCAACGCCGCGUGAGGGAUGAAGGCCUCUGGGCUGUAAACCUCUUUUCUCAAGGAAGAAGACAUGACGGUACUUGAGGAAUAAGCCACGGCUAAUUCCGUGCCAGCAGCCGCGGUAAUACGGGAGUGGCAAGCGUUAUCCGGAAUUAUUGGGCGUAAAGCGUCCGCAGGCGGCCCUGUAAGUCUGUCGUUAAAGCGUGGAGCUUAACUCCAUUUAAGCGAUGGAAACUACAGGGCUUGAGUGUGGUAGGGGCAGAGGGAAUUCCCGGUGUAGCGGUGAAAUGCGUAGAUAUCGGGAAGAACACCAGUGGCGAAGGCGCUCUGCUGGGCCAUAACUGACGCUCAUGGACGAAAGCCAGGGGAGCGAAAGGGAUUAGAUACCCCUGUAGUCCUGGCCGUAAACGAUGAACACUAGGUGUCGGGGGAAUCGACCCCCUCGGUGUCGUAGCCAACGCGUUAAGUGUUCCGCCUGGGGAGUACGCACGCAAGUGUGAAACUCAAAGGAAUUGACGGGGGCCCGCACAAGCGGUGGAGUAUGUGGUUUAAUUCGAUGCAACGCGAAGAACCUUACCAGGGUUUGACAUCCUGCGAAUCCCUUGGAAACGAGGGAGUGCCUUCGGGAGCGCAGAGACAGGUGGUGCAUGGCUGUCGUCAGCUCGUGUCGUGAGAUGUUGGGUUAAGUCCCGCAACGAGCGCAACCCACGUCUUUAGUUGCCAGCAUUCAGUUGGGCACUCUAGAGAGACCGCCGGUGAUAAACCGGAGGAAGGUGUGGAUGACGUCAAGUCAUCAUGCCCCUUACAUCCUGGGCUACACACGUACUACAAUGCUACGGACAAAGGGCAGCAAGCUCGCGAGAGUUAGCAAAUCCCAUAAACCGUGGCUCAGUUCAGAUCGUAGGCUGCAACUCGCCUACGUGAAGGAGGAAUCGCUAGUAAUCGCAGGUCAGCAUACUGCGGUGAAUACGUUCCCGGGCCUUGUACACACCGCCCGUCACACCAUGGAAGUUGGCCAUGCCCGAAGUCGUUACUCCAACGC
rnacentral:rRNA from 1 species